GGGGAGAUACCAUGAACAACAGGUUUUCUCAGGGUGAGGUCUGUCCAUUGCAGUCCUGCCAGCUGACCCCUGCGAGUUUCCCAAAUGCAGGAAGCUUGAC
rnacentral:snRNA from 1 species